UCAUGUGGAACAUUGGGUACUGCGGUAUUACCGGUGCCGGUGGUGGUGGCUUUUUCUCCUGCUCCGGUGGAGGUGUCGCAGGUUUUUUCUCAGGCGGAGGUGUCGCGGGCUUUUUCUCAGGCGGAGGCGUUGUGGGCUUUUUCUCAGGAGGAGGCGUUGCGGGCUUUUUCUCAGGCUGAGGCGUUGCGGGUUUCUUCUCAGGAGGAGGCGUUGCGGGUUUCUUCUCAGGAGGAGGCGUUGCGGGUUUCUUCUCAGGAGGAGGCGUUGCGGGUUUCUUCUCAGCAGGAGGCGUCGCCGGCUUCUUCUCCGGCGGUGGGUCUGGAAUGUUGAUUUCCUUGAUAGAUUUACAAGCCCUGCAGCACAGCUUCUUGAUGAGCACGUCAGGAUCGAACGGACCAGACAGAG
rnacentral:lncRNA from 1 species